GACGAACCGUCCAAACGUUGUUCGGAAUCACUGGGCUUAAAGGGCGCGUAGGCGGGCUGCCAAGUCAGGGGUGAAAUCCCACGGCUCAACCGUGGAAGUGCCUCUGAUACUGGCGGCCUCGAGGGAGGUAGGGGCGUGCGGAACUUCCGGUGGAGCGGUGAAAUGCGUAGAUAUCAGGAAGAACACCAACGGCGAAGGCAGCUCGCUGGGACGGUACUGACGCUGAGACGCGAAAGCGUGGGGAGCGAACAGG
rnacentral:rRNA from 1 species